ensembl:miRNA
CCUUGAGCUCACUUUGUAGCCUAGGCUGGUCUCGAACUCACAGAGAUCCUCCUGCCUCAGCCUCCUGAGUGUUGGAAU